GACGAACGCUGGCGGCGUGCUUAACACAUGCAAGUCGAACGGAAAGGCCCUGCUUUUGUGGGGUGCUCGAGUGGCGAACGGGUGAGUAACACGUGAGUAACCUGCCCUUGACUUUGGGAUAACUUCAGGAAACUGGGGCUAAUACCGGAUAGGAGCUCCUGCUGCAUGGUGGGGGUUGGAAAGUUUCGGCGGUUGGGGAUGGACUCGCGGCUUAUCAGCUUGUUGGUGGGGUAGUGGCUUACCAAGGCUUUGACGGGUAGCCGGCCUGAGAGGGUGACCGGCCACAUUGGGACUGAGAUACGGCCCAGACUCCUACGGGAGGCAGCAGUGGGGAAUAUUGCACAAUGGGCGGAAGCCUGAUGCAGCAACGCCGCGUGCGGGAUGACGGCCUUCGGGUUGUAAACCGCUUUCGCCUGUGACGAAGCGUGAGUGACGGUAAUCGGUAAAGAAGCACCGGCUAACUACGUG
rnacentral:rRNA from 1 species